rnacentral:rRNA from 1 species
AAUGAACGCUGGCGGAAUGCUUUACACAUGCAAGUCGAACGGCAGCACGGACUUCGGUCUGGUGGCGAGUGGCGAACGGGUGAGUAAUGUAUCGGAACGUGCCCAGUCGUGGGGGAUAACGUAGUGGAAAUUACGCUAAUACCGCAUACGAUCUAUGGAUGAAAGCGGGGGAUCGCAAGACCUCGCGCGAUUGGAGCGGCCGAUAUCAGAUUAGGUAGUUGGUGGGGUAAAGGCCCACCAAGCCAACGAUCUGUAGCUGGUCUGAGAGGACGACCAGCCACACUGGAACUGAGACACGGUCCAGACUCCUACGGGAGGCAGCAGUGGGGAAUUUUGGACAAUGGGCGAAAGCCUGAUCCAGCCAUUCCGCGUGCAGGAUGAAGGCCCUCGGGUUGUAAACUGCUUUUGUACAGAACGAAACGGUGAGCUCUAAUACAGUUUGCUAAUGACGGUACCGUAAGAAUAAGCACCGGCUAACUACGUGCCAGCCGCCGCAGUAA